rnacentral:rRNA from 1 species
AGAGUUUGAUCCUGGCUCAGAAUGAACGCUGGCGGCGUGCUUAACACAUGCAAGUCGUACGAGAAAUCCUCUGCUUGCAGGGGAGAGUAAAGUGGCGCACGGGUGAGUAUCGCGUGGGUAAUCUACCCUUGGAUUCAGGAUAACACUUCGAAAGGGGUGCUAAUACUGGAUAACAUCCUGAUGGUUUAGGCCAUAAGGAUCAAAGAUAGCCUCUACAUGUAAGCUAUUGUACAGGGAUGAGCCCGCGUACCAUUAGCUAGUUGGUGGGGUAAGAGCCUACCAAGGCGACGAUGGUUAGCUGGUCUGAGAGGAUGAUCAGCCACACUGGAACUGAAACACGGUCCAGACUCCUACGGGAGGCAGCAGUGAGGAAUUUUGCGCAAUGGGGGAAACCCUGACGCAGCAACGCCGCGUGAGUGAAGAAGGCUUUCGGGUCGUAAAGCUCUGUCAAGAGGAAAGAAAGUGGGAGAUGGUAAUACUGUUUUCUAUUGACGGUACCUCUGAAGGAAGCACCGGCUAACUCCGUGCCAGCAGCCG